rnacentral:rRNA from 1 species
GAUGAACGCUGGCGGCGUGCCUAAUACAUGCAAGUCGAGCGAACAGAUGAGGAGCUUGCUCCUCUGACGUUAGCGGCGGACGGGUGAGUAACACGUGGAUAACCUACCUAUAAGACUGGGAUAACUUCGGGAAACCGGAGCUAAUACCGGAUAAUAUAUUGAACCGCAUGGUUCAAUAGUGAAAGACGGUUUUGCUGUCACUUAUAGAUGGAUCCGCGCCGCAUUAGCUAGUUGGUAAGGUAACGGCUUACCAAGGCAACGAUGCGUAGCCGACCUGAGAGGGUGAUCGGCCACACUGGAACUGAGACACGGUCCAGACUCCUACUGGAGGCAGCAGUAGGGAAUCUUCCGCAAUGGGCGAAAGCCUGACGGAGCAACGCCGCGUGAGUGAUGAAGGUCUUCGGAUCGUAAAACUCUGUUAUUAGGGAAGAACAAAUGUGUAAGUAACUAUGCACGUCUUGACGGUACCUAAUCAGAAAGCCACGGCUAACUACGU